rnacentral:rRNA from 1 species
UGAGAGGAUGACCAGCCACACUGGAACUGAGACACGGUCCAGACUCCUACGGGAGGCAGCAGUGGGGAAUAUUGCACAAUGGGCGCAAGCCUGAUGCAGCCAUGCCGCGUGUAUGAAGAAGGCCUUCGGGUUGUAAAGUACUUUCAGCGGGGAGGAAGGCGAUAAGGUUAAUAACCUUGUCGAUUGACGUUACCCGCAGAAGAAGCACCGGCUAACUCCGUGCCAGCAGCCGCGGUAAUACGGAGGGUGCAAGCGUUAAUCGGAAUUACUGGGCGUAAAGCGCACGCAGGCGGUCUGUCAAGUCGGAUGUGAAAUCCCCGGGCUCAACCUGGGAACUGCAUUCGAAACUGGCAGGCUAGAGUCUUGUAGAGGGGGGUAGAAUUCCAGGUGUAGCGGUGAAAUGCG